UAUUAUGGAAAUAUAAAGCCAUGUGUUAAAGAGAAAUUUGUUAUCUUAUGGAAACAUAUAAACUCUAAGAUAAAUUACUUGAUAAACGAAGCGAAUUGAAAUAUCUAAGUAGCUUCAGGAAAAGAAAUCAAAAGAGAUUUUAUGAAUAGUGUGAACGAAAAUAAAAUAGCCUAUUAAUAAGUAAAAUGGUAGAAAAACUGUUUGAAUAUAUUCAUUUGGUUGGGCGUUCCGCAAGGUUGACGUUUUGGUUAAAUGAAUGUGGGGAACCUUCCUCAAAGGCUAAAUAUAACACAUGAGCAUCAGAGAAUUAGUACCGUAAGGGAAUUAUUGAAAUAGUAGUUUUAUAAGCAGCUCGAGUUGUAUUUGAAAACAAGAGCGUACCUUUUGCAUAAUGGGUCACCAAGUUAACAUUAGAUGCGAGCUAAUUAGUAUUGCGUAGUUAAAACGAUCAUAAUGUAACAGAAAAUGAUAAGUGUCUAAAGUUAGACCCGAAGCCUAGUGAUCUUACUAUAGUCAGGGCUAUAAAGGCUCGAACGGGUUAUUGUUGCAAAAAUAUCCGAUGAACUAUGGUAAGCAUAGUGAAAGACAAUUCUGACUAGGAUAGCUGGUUUUCUGCGAAACCUAUAAUAGUAGGCAAUUUAAGUAACAUCAAAGCAGGUACAGAACUUAAUCUCAGACCAGAUGUAAAUUUUCAGCAAGAGUACGACUUCUUGGCGCAGCCUGGCUUCGCUAAGAAGUACUCUUUGAAAAUACAUUAUUCAAUGGUACAUAUCGGGGGAUCGUGAAGAUUUUAUCGGUGAGUAUGUAGACUGGGAAUGGCUUAGAUGGAUCUUGAAUGAUCAGACAUAGAAUGAUAAGGUUGUAUGUCAAAAGGGAAACAGCCCAGAACAAAAGUUAAGGUUCCAAAAUUAUUGUUAAGUGAAAUUAAGAAGGUUUUUAUUUGAGUCGACAAGGAGAUGGGCUUAGAAGCAGCCAUAAUUUGAAGACCUCGUAAUAGAGCGCUCGUUAAGUCUUUAAAAGCAUCGAAAAUUUAACGGAUCUAAACAAUAUACCGAAACUUUGUCCUCAUUUAAACAUAAUUUUUAUUAUUGUUAUUUGCAGGGGUAGCAGAACGUUGGGUUAUAUUAGAUUUGGUAUUUUUAAAAUUCAAAUAAAAAAAAACUCAAGUGAUAAUGGUGACAUGAGUAGCGAAAAAGAUCCGGUACAAGGAGUAUUCCAACAAACUAGGCUUCGCUCUAGAUGAGGAAAGAAACUGUAGACGGAACUCGCCUAAAGCUUAUGGCUGAGGUAAAACGGCCUCUAAGUUUUUAACCUUAAGGUUAAAACGAUGAGAAAAUAGAUUGACUACAUCGCUAACAUUUUAGUUUCAGUGCUGCUUCUUACCGUGAGGUGAGGAGGUCCAUUGAAAGUAAGUGCAAAAUGUGCUGGAAAAUGUGUAGUCUAAUCUUAUUUAGAACAAUAAACUAAAAAGAUGAGUUAUAGAUGAGAUAAUAAAACCGUACCUAAAGACUGCCGCACAAGUAAGCUAGUAGAGAAUACGAAGGCGUAAGAGAUAACAAUCAUAAAGGAACUCGGCAAAUUGAUACCAAAACUUCGGGAAAAGGUAGGCUCAUUAGUCUUGGUUAAUACAAGUAAAAAGGAAGAAGCAUAAAAGGAUGUUGUACGACUGUUUAAUUAAAACACAGCACUUUGCAAAAAGAUGAUAAAUCUAAGUAUUGAGUGUGAUACCUGCCCGGUGCCGGCUGGUUAACGGAAAUAACUAAAUUUUCAUAGAUUUGGUGUAGAAGGAAACCCCGGUUAAUGGCGGCCUUAUAAGUGAGGGUCCUAAGGUAGCGGAAUACCUUGGCCGUUAAAUGCGGUCUUUGCAUGAAUGGUGUAACGAUACAACAGCUGUCUCUAUGAUUGACUCUGUGAAAUUGGAAUAACUGUGCAGAUACAGUUUACCUCUAGUUGGACGAGAAGACCCUAUGCAGCUUUACUGUUACUAAUUAUUGAGUAUAAUAACAGCAAAUCUUAGUAUAUAAGGUAAUUGAUCAGAUAGAAGUGAAAUACCUUUAUUUGUUUAUUAUAUUAUUAUGGAAUAAUGCAUUUUAAUUCAUACAUCUGAAUUAGAAUGUAUUAUAAACAUCUGACUCUAUGAAAAGGGAGAACAUUUGCUAGGAGACAGUUUAUGCGGGGCACAGACCCCAUAAAGAGUAGAUGGGAGUGUCUAAGGAUUAUGAUGUUUGUAGCAAUGUGUACAUAAAAAUUUAUGAUGGCUUGCUGCAAUUAAUUUUUGUAUAUCUAGGGCCGUGCUUGGUUUUACCAGCCGGUCUCUUAAAAGAUAAUUUUUGUUUGUAGUUAAAUAUAACUUAGUUGUAUUUAAUCCUUUGCUAGUACGAGACGUAUAAGGGCGUACAUAUUAUUAAAAGGGUAAGAUUUUAGCUAUAGAGAAAUUAGCUUUAGUUAAAAAGUGUUGUGUAGUAUAACACUUUUUCUAGUUAUUAGAUUCUACUUUCCAGUGUUUUUAAUAAUAAUGUAAACUAACUAUCAAGUUUAACGGCUUAAUCUUGCUUUACUGUUUGAUUCACAACAAAUCUUACAGUCGCCUAAGCGGGGCAUAGGAUCACAAGACACAUUAAGGAAAGGUCUUGGAUUUUUGGAAAAGCUACGCUAGGGAUAACAGGCUAAUUUGCGCAAGAGUGUACAUAAUGAGUGCGCGGUUUGGCACCUCGAUGUCGGCUUAACUUAUCCUCAUGGAUGCAGGAACUAUGUAGGGUACGACUGUUCGUCGAUUAAAAAGUUACAUGAGCUGGGUUAAAUACGUCGUGAGACAGUAUGGUUUCUAUCUUCUAGAGGGAAUUAGAAUAAAAUAAGGAAUAACCUAGUACGAAUGGAACGUGGGGAAUUAAGUUAUUCUGGGUAAUACCAGGGUACACUUUAUUAACCUCUGGUUUACCUGUUGUUUAUAUGCUCAAUAUUAAUUUAUGUAUAAGCUGAACAAAUCAGCAUAUACAGGGAGACUACUUUCACUUAGGUAGGAAAGAGGACUAAUGGGUAGCGCAUUAUAUGUGUCCAUUCAGAGCCCGUAGUAUAGGCACGGCAGGAAAGCUAAGUUAGUCCAAGAUAAGUGCUGAAAGCAUAUAGGCACGAAGCUUACCUUAAGAUAUUUCUUAAAUAUACGUAAUAUAAUAUUACGAAUACUAUAUAGGCUUUUUUUGUAAGAAUCAAGAGAUUUUGAGGAAUGAAGUACUAAUUUUAUAAAAUACUUAUUUAGUUUAU
rnacentral:rRNA from 1 species